rnacentral:rRNA from 1 species
AUGGCUCAGGAUGAACGCUGGCGGCGUGCCUAAUACAUGCAAGUCGAACGGUCUGCUUCGGCAGAUAGUGGCGAACGGGUGAGUAACGCGUUGGUGACCUACCCCUAAGUGUGGGAUAACGGCCCGAAAGGACUGCUAAUACCGCAUGUGGCCCCGGAAGUUAGAGGCUCCGGGACUAAAGGAUGGCUUUCGAGCCAUUCGCUUGGGGAGGGGCCUGCGUCCCAUCAGCUAGUUGGUAGGGUAACGGCCUACCAAGGCGACGACGGGUAGGGGGCCUGAGAGGGUGGCCCCCCACAAUGGAACUGAAACACGGUCCAUACACCUACGGGUGGCAGCAGUAGGGAAUAUUGCACAAUGGGCGCAAGCCUGAUGCAGCAACGCCGCGUGCGCGACGAAGGCCUUCGGGUCGUAAAGCGCUUUUCGGGGAGAUGAGGCCCUUCGGGGUAAGACAG